GGAUAUCCCCAAUUGAAAAACACAACUUUUAAAAAAAAUCAUGAAGGUUGUUACAUCAUUCACCACUUAAAUAUUUGUUCAUCUUUGAACAGGUAGGAAAAGUACCAAACUGUCAAGCAACUACAAAUACCCAUAAUAGCCCUGCAUGCUAGCUUUCCCAAGCAAAGCAUACACCUAUAGUACUGCUAGUUCACCCUAAAUAUUAGAAUCC
rnacentral:lncRNA from 1 species